rnacentral:misc_RNA from 1 species
AAGUCGUAACAAGGUCUCUGUUGGUGAACCAGCGGAGGGAUCAUUACAGAGUUGCAAAACUCCCUAAACCAUCGUGAACCUUUACCGCUAAACAGUUGCUUCGGCGGGUGGCCCGCCGGAGGAAUCCAAAAAACCAUCGCUUUCAGUGCUGGCCUCUCUGAGUUACUGUAUUUUUAAUCAAGUCAAAACUUUCAACAACGACAAAAGACCAGGUUCCCCGCACAUUUCCAACAACUGACGACAGAAGGAAACGUCUGGGCGUGCGGCUGGGCAUCUCUUGGUUCUG